rnacentral:rRNA from 1 species
GAUGAACGCUGGCGGCGUGCCUAAUACAUGCCAGUCGAGCGAACGGACGAGAAGCUUGCUUCUCUGAUGUUAGCGGCGGACGGGUGAGUAACACGUGGAUAACCUACCUAUAAGACUGGGAUAACUUCGGGAAACCGGAGCUAAUACCGGAUAAUAUUUUGAACCGCAUGGUUCAAAAGUGAAAGACGGUCUUGCUGUCACUUAUAGAUGGAUCCGCGCUGCAUUAGCUAGUUGGUAAGGUAACGGCUUACCAAGGCAACGAUGCAUAGCCGACCUGAGAGGGUGAUCGGCCACACUGGAACUGAGACACGGUCCAGACUCCUACGGGAGGCAGCAGUAGGGAAUCUUCCGCAAUGGGCGAAAGCCUGACGGAGCAACGCCGCGUGAGUGAUGAAGGUCUUCGGAUCGUAAAACUCUGUUAUUAGGGAAGAACAUAUGUGUAAUUAACUGUGCACAUCUUGACGGUACCUAAUCAGAAAGCCACGGCUAACUACGUG